UAGGGGAACAUGGUGGAGUCAUACACCAACCCACAGACAAUCCCAAACUCUCCCAACCGCCCAACCAAACUUUCCCGUGUAUGAUUUGUAUGAGAUUUUAUAACUUAUGCACAUGUCCUAAUGGACCUACUCCCCUCUCAAGUGUUUUCCCUACAAUGACCACCACCUACCUAAUCUGGACCCCUCUCCAUCAUCACCAUUGAUUCCUAGUGUCACCAAUCCAAUCCAACGACCAAUACGAGCAGUGAGUUUUCUUUGAUCCAACGGCCCACAAUCAGAGAAUCCGUACUCGUUCUCUCUCGGCUAGAUAGAUCUUUGAAAUCGUCUACGAGCGAUUGGUGUUAGAGUAAACGACGAACCGACUUCGAUAUUAUAAGUACGUCAGCCAUAGACGUUACGACACGUGAAGUGGGACACAUCUUAAGCCACGUGGAAUACAUGUCGCGCAUGAGACUCGUCACUAACACGUGGGUCCUCUGCGCAAAUCGCUCGUCUAUUCUUGCUUUGCACUGUUUUUACGCGACGGCACGGCUCUCUCGUUUUCCGUACAAUUCCCUCUGAAUCUUUUCUAAUUCGCCACUAACAUAUCUCAAGCCUAUCAUCAACA